AGGACGAACGCUGGCGGCGUGCUUAACACAUGCAAGUCGAGCGGUAAGGCCUUUCGGGGUACACGAGCGGCGAACGGGUGAGUAACACGUGGGUGAUCUGCCCUGCACUCUGGGAUAAGCCUGGGAAACUGGGUCUAAUACCGGAUAUGACCUGCUCUCGCAUGGGGGUGGGUGGAAAGAUUUAUCGGUGCAGGAUGGGCCCGCGGCCUAUCAGCUUGUUGGUGGGGUAAUGGCCUACCAAGGCGACGACGGGUAGCCGACCCGAGAGGGUGACCGGCCACACUGGGACUGAGACACGGCCCAGACUCCUACGGGAGGCAGCAGUGGGAAUAUUGCACAAUGGGCGAAAGCCUGAUGCAGCGACGCCGCGUGAGGAUGAAGGCCUUCGGGUUGUAAACCUCUUUCAGCAGGACGAAGCGCAAGUGACGGUACCUGCAGAAGAAGCACCGGCUAACUACGUGCCAGCAGCCGC
rnacentral:rRNA from 1 species